GAUCCUGCCAGUAGUCAU
rnacentral:rRNA from 1 species